rnacentral:rRNA from 1 species
GACGAACGCUGGCGGCGUGCCUAAUACAUGCAAGUUGAGCGCUGAAGGUUGGUACUUGUACCAACUGGAUGAGCAGCGAACGGGUGAGUAACGCGUGGGGAAUCUGCCUUUGAGCGGGGGACAACAUUUGGAAACGAAUGCUAAUACCGCAUAAAAACUUUAAACACAAGUUUUAAGUUUGAAAGAUGCAAUUGCAUCACUCAAAGAUGAUCCCGCGUUGUAUUAGCUAGUUGGUGGGGUAAAGGCUCACCAAGGCGAUGAUACAUAGCCGACCUGAGAGGGUGAUCGGCCACAUUGGGACUGAGACACGGCCCAAACUCCUACGGGAGGCAGCAGUAGGGAAGCUUCGGCAAUGGACGAAAGUCUGACCGAGCAACGCCGCGUGAGUGAAGAAGGUUUUCGGAUCGUAAAACUCUGUUGGUAGAGAAGAACGUUGGUGAGAGUGGAAAGCUCAUCAAGUGACGGUAACUACCCAGAAAGGGACGGCUAACUACGUG